rnacentral:rRNA from 1 species
UACGGAAGGCAGCAGUGGGGAAUAUUGCACAAUGGGCGCAAGCCUGAUGCAGCCAUGCCGCGUGUAUGAAGAAGGCCUUCGGGUUGUAAAGUACUUUCAGCGGGGAGGAAGGCGAUGCGGUUAAUAACCGCGUCGAUUGACGUUACCCGCAGAAGAAGCACCGGCUAACUCCGUGCCAGCAGCCGCGGUAAUACGGAGGGUGCAAGCGUUAAUCGGAAUUACUGGGCGUAAAGCGCACGCAGGCGGUCUGUUAAGUCAGAUGUGAAAUCCCCCGGGCUUAACCUGGGAACUGCAUUUUGAAACUGGCAGGCUUGAGUCUUGGUAGAGGGGGUAGAAUUCCAGGUGUAGCGGUGAAAUGCGUAGAGAUCUGGAGGAAUACCGGUGGCGAAGGCGGCCCCUGGGACAAAGCUGACGCUCAGGUGCGAAAGCGUGGGGAGCAAACAGGGAUUAGGAUACC